rnacentral:rRNA from 1 species
CAAUAGCGUAUAUUAAAGUUGUCGCAGUUAAAAAGCUCGUAGUUGGAUUUGUGGCGUACGGUGUGUUCCGGGCACUUGUUGUCUGAGUAACCUGCUGUUGCCAUCCUUGGGUGGAACCUGUGUGGCAUUAGGUUGUCGUGCAGGGGAUGCCCAUCAUUUACUGUGAAAAAAUUAGAGUGUUCAAAGCAGGCUUAUGCCGUUGAAUAUAUUAGCAUGGAAUAAUGAGAUAGGACUUUUUUGCUAUUUUGUUGGUUUGCGCAAGAAGGUAAUGAUUAAUAGGGACAGUUGGGGGUAUUCGUAUUCCAUUGUCAGAGGUGAAAUUCUUGGAUUUUUGGAAGACGAACUACUGCGAAAGCAUUUACCAAGGAUGUUUUCAUUAAC